rnacentral:rRNA from 1 species
GCCCGUCGCUCCUACCGAUUGGAUGACUCGGUGAAAUCACCGGAUGCUUACGAGCAGAAAGUGAUUAAAUCACGUUAUCUAGAGGAAGGAGAAGUCGUAACAAGGUAACGGUAGGUGAACCUGCCGUUGGAUCAGUUCUAGUUUUAAUAACUAACACCAACUUCUUUUAUUAAACAAAAACCAAUACAAAAUAAAAACUAACUUCAU